UUAUUUGGGUUGGGUUUACUUUUCAAAAAUUGUUCCUUUAAGUUUUUCAAAAAGUAAAUCUGCACCAAAUAACAAUUUGAAACACAUCAGAACGAAAUUGUUAUUUUUUCUCGCCCUUUUAUAGGGAGGAGCAAGAUGAAUUUAUUUAAAACCACCCACUCUUAAAAAUAUAUCAUAUAUAUAAAAAUAAAAAGA
rnacentral:misc_RNA from 1 species